UUGUUGUUUUCAUUGUUGUCGUUGUUCUCGUCUUUGUCGUUGUUGUCGUCAUUGUCGUUGUCGUUGUUGUCGUCGUCGUCGUCAUCGUUGUUGUUUUUUGUUGUUGUUGUUGUUAUUGUUGUUGUUCAUGUUGUUGUUCUUGUUUUCAUUGUUUUCGUUGUUCUCGUCUUUGUAGUUGUUGUCGUCAUUGACGUUGUCGUUGUUGUCGUCGUCAUCAUCAUCGUUGUUGUUAUUGUUGUUUUUUGUUGUUGUUCUUGUUGCUGGUGUUGUUGUUGUUGUUGUUGUUGUUGUUGUUCUUGUUG
rnacentral:lncRNA from 1 species